rnacentral:hammerhead_ribozyme from 1 species
GCACUGCUGAAGAGUCCUAAAUAUGACGAGACAGCUGUCCAGUGC